AUGAACGCUGGCGGCGUGCCUAAUACCUGCAAGUCGAGCGAACAGACGAGGAGCUUGCUCCUCUGACGUUAGCGGCGGACGGGUGAGUAACACGUGGAUAACCUACCUAUAAGACUGGGAUAACUUCGGGAAACCGGAGCUAAUACCGGAUAAUAUAUUGAACCGUAUGGUUCAAUAGUGAAAGACGGUUUUGCUGUCACUUAUAGAUGGAUCCGCGCCGCAUUAGCUAGUUGGUAAGGUAACGGCUUACCAAGGCGACGAUGCGUAGCCGACCUGAGAGGGUGAUCGGCCACACUGGAACUGAGACACGGUCCAGACUCCUACGGGAGGCAGCAGUAGGGAAUCUUCCGCAAUGGGCGAAAGCCUGACGGAGCAACGCCGCGUGAGUGAUGAAGGUCUUCGGAUCGUAAAACUCUGUUAUUAGGGAAGAACAAAUGUGUAAGUAACUAUGCACGUCUUGACGGUACCUAAUCAGAAAGCCACGGCUAACUACGUG
rnacentral:rRNA from 1 species